rnacentral:rRNA from 1 species
ACUAAGCGUACACGGUGGAUGCCCUGGCAGUCAGAGGCGAUGAAGGACGUGCUAAUCUGCGAUAAGCGUCGGUAAGGUGAUAUGAACCGUUAUAACCGGCGAUUUCCGAAUGGGGAAACCCAGUGUGUUUCGACACACUAUCAUUAACUGAAUCCAUAGGUUAAUGAGGCGAACCGGGGGAACUGAAACAUCUAAGUACCCCGAGGAAAAGAAAUCAACCGAGAUUCCCCCAGUAGCGGCGAGCGAACGGGGAGCAGCCCAGAGCCUGAAUCAGUGUGUGUGUUAGUGGAAGCGUCUGGAAAGGCGCGCGAUACAGGGUGACAGCCCCGUACACAAAAAUGCACAUAUUGUGAGCUCGAUGAGUAGGGCGGGACACGUGGUAUCCUGUCUGAAUAUGGGGGGACCAUCCUCCAAGGCUAAAUACUCCUGACUGACCGAUAGUGAACCAGUACCGUGAGGGAAAGGCGAAAAGAACCCCGGCGAGGGGAGUGAAAAAGAACCUGAAACCGUGUACGUACAAGCAGUGGGAGCACGCUUAGGCGUGUGACUGCGUACCUUUUGUAUAAUGGGUCAGCGACUUAUAUUCUGUAGCAAGGUUAACCGAAUAGGGGAGCCGAAGGGAAACCGAGUCUUAACUGGGCGUUAAGUUGCAGGGUAUAGACCCGAAACCCGGUGAUCUAGCCAUGGGCAGGUUGAAGGUUGGGUAACACUAACUGGAGGACCGAACCGACUAAUGUUGAAAAAUUAGCGGAUGACUUGUGGCUGGGGGUGAAAGGCCAAUCAAACCGGGAGAUAGCUGGUUCUCCCCGAAAGCUAUUUAGGUAGCGCCUCGUGAAUUCAUCUCCGGGGGUAGAGCACUGUUUCGGCAAGGGGGUCAUCCCGACUUACCAACCCGAUGCAAACUGCGAAUACCGGAGAAUGUUAUCACGGGAGACACACGGCGGGUGCUAACGUCCGUCGUGAAGAGGGAAACAACCCAGACCGCCAGCUAAGGUCCCAAAGUCAUGGUUAAGUGGGAAACGAUGUGGGAAGGCCCAGACAGCCAGGAUGUUGGCUUAGAAGCAGCCAUCAUUUAAAGAAAGCGUAAUAGCUCACUGGUCGAGUCGGCCUGCGCGGAAGAUGUAACGGGGCUAAACCAUGCACCGAAGCUGCGGCAGCGACGCUUAUGCGUUGUUGGGUAGGGGAGCGUUCUGUAAGCCUGCGAAGGUGUGCUGUGAGGCAUGCUGGAGGUAUCAGAAGUGCGAAUGCUGACAUAAGUAACGAUAAAGCGGGUGAAAAGCCCGCUCGCCGGAAGACCAAGGGUUCCUGUCCAACGUUAAUCGGGGCAGGGUGAGUCGACCCCUAAGGCGAGGCCGAAAGGCGUAGUCGAUGGGAAACAGGUUAAUAUUCCUGUACUUGGUGUUACUGCGAAGGGGGGACGGAGAAGGCUAUGUUGGCCGGGCGACGGUUGUCCCGGUUUAAGCGUGUAGGCUGGUUUUCCAGGCAAAUCCGGAAAAUCAAGGCUGAGGCGUGAUGACGAGGCACUACGGUGCUGAAGCAACAAAUGCCCUGCUUCCAGGAAAAGCCUCUAAGCAUCAGGUAACAUCAAAUCGUACCCCAAACCGACACAGGUGGUCAGGUAGAGAAUACCAAGGCGCUUGAGAGAACUCGGGUGAAGGAACUAGGCAAAAUGGUGCCGUAACUUCGGGAGAAGGCACGCUGAUAUGUAGGUGAAGUCCCUCGCGGAUGGAGCUGAAAUCAGUCGAAGAUACCAGCUGGCUGCAACUGUUUAUUAAAAACACAGCACUGUGCAAACACGAAAGUGGACGUAUACGGUGUGACGCCUGCCCGGUGCCGGAAGGUUAAUUGAUGGGGUCAGCGCAAGCGAAGCUCUUGAUCGAAGCCCCGGUAAACGGCGGCCGUAACUAUAACGGUCCUAAGGUAGCGAAAUUCCUUGUCGGGUAAGUUCCGACCUGCACGAAUGGCGUAAUGAUGGCUAGGCUGUCUCCACCCGAGACUCAGUGAAAUUGAACUCGCUGUGAAGAUGCAGUGUACCCGCGGCAAGACGGAAAGACCCCGUGAACCUUUACUAUAGCUUGACACUGAACAUUGAGCCUUGAUGUGUAGGAUAGGUGGGAGGCUUUGAAGUGUGGACGCCAGUCUGCAUGGAGCCGACCUUGAAAUACCACCCUUUAAUGUUUGAUGUUCUAACGUUGACCCGUAAUCCGGGUUGCGGACAGUGUCUGGUGGGUAGUUUGACUGGGGCGGUCUCCUCCUAAAGAGUAACGGAGGAGCACGAAGGUUGGCUAAUCCUGGUCGGACAUCAGGAGGUUAGUGCAAUGGCAUAAGCCAGCUUGACUGCGAGCGUGACGGCGCGAGCAGGUGCGAAAGCAGGUCAUAGUGAUCCGGUGGUUCUGAAUGGAAGGGCCAUCGCUCAACGGAUAAAAGGUACUCCGGGGAUAACAGGCUGAUACCGCCCAAGAGUUCAUAUCGACGGCGGUGUUUGGCACCUCGAUGUCGGCUCAUCACAUCCUGGGGCUGAAGUAGGUCCCAAGGGUAUGGCUGUUCGCCAUUUAAAGUGGUACGCGAGCUGGGUUUAGAACGUCGUGAGACAGUUCGGUCCCUAUCUGCCGUGGGCGCUGGAGAACUGAGGGGGGCUGCUCCUAGUACGAGAGGACCGGAGUGGACGCAUCACUGGUGUUCGGGUUGUCAUGCCAAUGGCACUGCCCGGUAGCUAAAUGCGGAAGAGAUAAGUGCUGAAAGCAUCUAAGCACGAAACUUGCCCCGAGAUGAGUUCUCCCUGACUCCUUGAGAGUCCUGAAGGAACGUUGAAGACGACGACGUUGAUAGGCCGGGUGUGUAAGCGCAGCGAUGCGUUGAGCUAACCGGUACUAAUGAACCGUGAGGCUUAACC